UACGUAGGGGGCAAGCGUUUGUUCGGAAUUACUGGGCGUAAAGGGCGCGUAGGCGGCCUGCUAAGUCGAACGUGAAAUCCCCGGGCUCAACCCGGGAACUGCGUCCGAUACUGGCAGGCUUGAAUUCGGGAGAGGGAUGUGGAAUUCCAGGUGUAGCGGUGAAAUGCGUAGAUAUCUGGAGGAACACCGGUGGCGAAGGCGGCAUCCUGGACCGAUAUUGACGCUGAUGCGCGAAAGCCAGGGGAGCAAACGGG
rnacentral:rRNA from 1 species